GUAGACGCUAUACUCUAAGAUUAACCCAUGCAUGUUUAUUGAAUAUAAAGAAAAGACGAACAGCUCAGUAACUCUUAUUUGAUUUGAUGUAUUAGGAUUCUAACUAUGUUAAAUUAUAGGUAACAAUAAUACAAUAAGAAUAAGAUCUAUCAGUUAGUUGUUAAGGUAAUGGCUUAACAAGACUAUGACGGAUAACGGUAUUACUUUGUAAUAUUCCGGAGAAGGAGCCUGAGAGAUUGCUACUAAGUCUAAGGAUUGCAGCAGGGGCGAAACUUGACCUAUGAUAUUAUAUUGAGGCAGUUAUGAGUAGUAUUUUAUAAUUAUUGUAGUAUUGUAAGUACAUAUUACAAGAUAAAUCGGAGGGCAAAUCGAGUGCCAGCAGCCGCGGUAAUACUUGUUCCGAUAGUGUGUAUGAUGAUUGAUGCAGUUAAAAAGUCUGUAGUUUAUUUUAUAAUAAGCAUUGUAAGGUAUACUGUAUGGUUAGGAGAGAGAUGAAAUGUGAUAACCCUAACUGGAUGAACAGAAGCGAAAGCUGUAUACUUAAAUGUAUUAUUAGAACAAGGACGUAAGCUAGAGGAUCGAAGAUGAUUAGAUACCAUUGUAGUUCUAGCAGUAAACUAUGUUGAAUCAUAGAUAUAUUUUGAUAUAUAUUUAUGUAGAGAAAUUAAGAUUAUAUUGACUCUGGGGGAUAGUAUGAUCGCAAGAUUGAAAAUUAAAGAAAUUGACGGAAGAAUACCACAAGGAGUGGAUUGUGCGGCUUAAUUUGACUCAACGCGGGGUAAUUUACCAGGUAUAACAUGAUAUAAUAUUUUAUCAUGAUAGUGGUGCAUGGCCGUUUUCAAUGGAUGCUGUGAAGUAAUGAUUAAUUUCAACAAGAUGUGAGACCCUCAUUUAGACAGAUGUAGUGAUACAUAUGAAGGAGAGGAUUAAAACAGGUCCGUUAUGCCCUAAGAUAAUCUGGGUUGCACGCGCAAUACAAUAAUAUUUGAUAUUAUAAGGGAUAAUAUAAUGUAAGAUAUAUUUGAACAUGGAAUUGCUAGUAAAUUUUAUUUAAUAAGUAGAAUUGAAUGAGUCCCUGUUCUUUGUACACACCGCCCGUCGCUAUCUAAGAUGGUAUUAUCUAUGAACAAAUUUAUAAAGUGAAUAGAUAGUACUAGAUCUGAUAU
rnacentral:rRNA from 1 species